UACGAAGGGGGCUAGCGUUGCUCGGAAUCACUGGGCGUAAAGGGCGCGUAGGCGGUCGUGACAAGUCACUUGUGAAAUCUCCGGGCUUAACUCGGAACGGUCAAGUGAUACUGUCGGACUAGAGUACAGAAGGGGCAACUGGAAUUCUCGGUGUAGCGGUGAAAUGCGUAGAUAUCGAGAGGAACACCUGCGGCGAAGGCGGGGUUGCUGGGCUGAUACUGACGCUGAGGCGCGAAAAGCCCAGGGGGAGCGAAACGGGG
rnacentral:rRNA from 1 species